GUUACAUAUUUAAUACAUUUAAUUUCUAUUUGUCUUCCACAGUUCUGGUGACCAUGCCUUUUUUGAAGGUUUAUUUGUGGCUGAAGACUUUGCAGUGUCUGGAUUUGUGGACAUGAUCCAGAAAGCUGUGAAAAAGGCAAGUUUGAAUCGUAAUUUGACAAAAUACUUCUGUUGCUAAAAUAAACAUAUCUAUCCAACAUAGAUUUCCUCCCCAACUGCAACUUCUGCCUGCCAACUAAAAAAUCAAAUUUAGUGAAUACAUGGCAUAUAUAGUUUUUUAUGAUACCAUUGAUUUUAUUUGAUUUAUUUUUGUUUACGUGUCAUAGACACAGGGAAGAGGCACGUGUGGGGACUCCCAAUGGACAGCAGCACGGGAGACAUCAAGAAGGGCAUCCAAAUUGGAUGAAGAGGGCAUGGAGGUUGCUGUGUGUCGCCAUGGUUUCCUUCUUAAAGCCCUUAAUAUGUACAGGGGAGAAAUAUUUGCCUACCCCAUGUACCUUCAAAAGGAGCUGAUGCCAGCCAAGGCACAAUUCUUUGCCAUGGAUGUGGCUUGCAAACACUGGCCAUACCUGGAGAAAGUUGCCAGUGUCCUUCCUGCUCUCCAGGAGCUGACCACCAUGAAACCUUUCCUCAGCGUCAUGCAUGCUCGAACUCAUGCUACCAAGUGUGAGGUAUGUUUAUUAUUUUUUAUUAUGGUAUGUAAAUUGUAAUGUUUAUAAUAUUAAAUUGAAGUUAAUGGGUAGACUAUAUUAUGUAUAUGUUUUGUGUUACCAUUCCACUCAACCUUUACUAACAGAUUAAAUGGAGUGGUAGGAACCAGGAAGGAGCAGGGACAACCGCCGGUGAAGAGGUGGAACAAGUUAACAGCUACCUCUCUCGUUGUGCCCUUACGACAAAAUAUAUGUCGAAAGCAGGUGAACAGAGUGUUUUCCAUAUUGUUGCAUACUUCUUUUCAAAGACUGCAUGCCAUCAACUCAUACUUUGCCUUCAAUAGCCCGGUUGGACAUGCUCACAUUGCAUGCAAUGUUGUGGAACCAGAAGAAAGGGGAUUCCUUACACCAGGCACUUUCCACAAGAUAUGUGAAGACUUGUCAGAGGCUCCUGGAUGAGACUGCAAUGCUAGCAGAGCUAAAAACCCAGCUACAUCUCUCAGAUGAAAUGGUGUCACAGUGGAUCUCAGAUGUGAUGGAAUGGGCAGCUGGUGAGACACGAGAUGCAUCUGACAACCUGCAAGGCACCACACACACAGGGCUUCAGCGGUCCAUUGAGGGGCUCUACCUCAGUGUGAGGCAGCGGAAGCUAAAUCUGUACCGUCAGAAUGACAGCAACAAGCUUCGCCACCGGCUUCGGAGGAAGCUGGCAGAAGAGAAAAAGCUCCUUUUUCAGGAGAUACAAAAGCACAACAAGCUUGACUCUGCAGCCAACAUCGAUGCAGCUGUGGUGGAGCACUCCCUGAGUGGAGAGAGCACUGUGUCCCCAAUAUGGCCUUGGGAGGUUCAUGACAGCGCAAACAUUGGAACCAAGAAACGGCUUCAUGACCAAGUCAUGACAACAAAGCGACUGCAGGAGGAAAAAAACAUUCUGGUGAUGGAGAUGGCACGACACUGCACAUGGUUGCAGAACCUGGCAUUGGUUCUCAAAAACAAGGUGGCUGAGUCGGGUGGAGAGUCUGGAGACAAAGGAGCUGAAGGACUUUGCAGUCUCUUGAGGAGAAGAAACACAGAGGUGUCAGAGGGGUUGCAAGUGGUCCUGCAAAAAUACAAGACUGCUUUAGGUCCUGAGGCCUCUGUCAUUCAAAAUAUUGAAGAGGAAGACCAAAGUGUCCACAGCAGUCCAGACACCAGUGAGGAUGAAGAGGAAAGCAUAAUUUAGAUUGAAGCUGCACUGAGGAUGGACUAAGGAAAUGGACUUGCCUAGAAAGCACUAAUGUGAUAAAACAUGCAUUCGGGCGUCUUAUAUUAUUUCACACGCAUAGAUAUUAACUUGGCACUAUGGGGGAGGGAACCAAGGAAGGCAGGCUUUCCUAUGAUUGGCCGUUCUGAAGCGGGAUAUUCGAUUGACAGCCCUCCUCAGCCCGAAUUCAGCCAAGGGUUUCUUACUUGAAGGGACCUUCGCCCAGACGUGAUUGUCUUCUGAGUUUCAGCCAUUGACUACAAUACAGAAUGAAUGAGAGGAGGGCUGAGGAAGACUCUCAAUCAAAUAUCGUGCUUCAGAAACAGCCAAUCACAGGAAAGCACGCCCUGCCUUGAUUCCCUCCCACAUAGUGCCAAAAUUAAAUUUGAGCGAGAGAGCAUAACAUCAUUCGCGAGAGGCUGUUUUGUAUGACCAAAGUUAUUCCCCCCUCUCGCUUGCAACGAGGUAAUGCUCUCGAGGAUCUUUUUUCCUGGCUCGGGGAGCUGCGCUCUGAGUGCGGACGUGCACACAGAUAAUUUGGGCGCUCGCAGUUAACAUCUACGUGUAUGAAAUAAUAUAAUACGCCCGAAUGCAUGUUUUAUCCCAUUAGUGCUUUAUGGCACUAAUGUGUCGCCAUACUCAACCGCUUAUCCUGGCAACUUCACACCUGACACUGCACCCUUGGGUCUUCUGCAAUACACCCACCAAGUGUAAAAUAAAUCAGAUGAACACUACUAACUGCUUCCUGUCAACUGACAGCAGUCAGCUGACCGUCAUUACAUCGCUGUAGCACCUGAACAUUCAUUGGUGCCAUACUUGACAGCUCUCCACACAGUUACAUAGCAUUGUGGUGAAUGUUCAGACCACUGUUUCAUCUCUCCCCUUCCAGCGUCACAGAUUAUCAAUCUUGGUGAUGGAGGCACUAGCAUUUUGGUGUGUUAUUUAGUUAAUGUGUGUAAAAGAUGACUUCCUCAAAUGUCUUGUUUUGUUCGGAAUUCAAAGAUAUUCAGUUGACAGAAUAUAUAGAAGUAUAAAGAAACCAGAAAAUAUUACAUUUGAGAAUCUGGAAUCUGAUCAUUUUGAAUUUUUUUAUUUUUCAAAAAAUGAAAAAGUGAUUAAUCUUUCAUCCAAACAGUUGGUUAUUAAUUAAAAUCAAAUAGUUGCAUGUCAUGUAAAAUGUAAAUCAAGGAGAACGACCAUUUUGAUUGAUAGGGUGGCGUGACUAAGUAUGUAUACAUAUAAUAUGUAUGUAAUAUGCAUUAGACUGUAUGUAACAAAGAGACAGUUGUAUAGUUAAUAUAGGUACGUACAGUAUAACUGGAUUACAUGUUCUGUUGUCAGUGCUUAUGUAAAGCUAACCCUACAGUCCAUUUUUAAGAAAUACAGCCCAAAUUGUUUGUGUGUUGGACAGAUCCAUUUGGUGCAUUUUCUCCAGUAUUGUUGCAAAAGAUGAAUACAUUAUUGCCAAAAAUGACCAUUUUUUGUUUUACUUUUCCAUCAUGUUUAGAAACAUCAUGUGACAGUUUUGUGUUUUAUAAAAAAAGAUGGCCUAUCAAGAGAAAAUAUGGGAAACAAACAUAAACAAUGCAUAAUUAAUUAUAUUUUGAAUUGAGUUAAAUUUAACAUCACAUACAUUAUUAUUUAUGUGGAUUACAUCAAUUAACUGAUCUCCUUGUGAUAUAUUUCACCCAAAUCAUCUAUAUGCAGUAUAAUGUAGCCUAUGUUUUACUUGUAGAUUUUUGAUUCAGUAAAGAUUCAUUUUCCUAAACUUAUUUACAACCCUCCUCUUGGUGUAAGAACUACAAGUAUCCCUUCUAACUUGUAUGGUUCCUAAAAUUUCAAAGGAACGAUUGUAAUGGGCAUUGUAUUUUUAAAUACAUUGUAUUCCCCAUGAUUAGAAGUUUGCAGUAUUAAACUGGAUGAUAACAUUGUAAUUAAUAACAUUACAAUGUUACAUAUAAAUGUAGUAUUGUUCAGUACUAUAUUGGGUAUAUAUUAUGUUCUAUGAUACUUAAAUACUAAACCUAAAUUGUCAUGUUAAUAUCAAAUUGAAGUUGGGGUUGACUGACGUCUUGAAAACCUUGGGGGGUGUUCACUAGCCAGUAAGGCUAUUUCUAGUUAUCUGCGACUGCUGUCGAUUAUUAAUCCAUCCUACUGCAGGUAUACUGAACUAAAUGGUUUUGUUUGGAAGCCACACCAUAUUAAAACCAAUUAUAAAUCACAUUUACACUUUAUAGCAGGAAAAUAGAUCGAAGGAUGAGGUCUGAAAGAUGUGUUUUGAAACGUUGCUUAAUACGUUACGCCAUUGAACACACACCUUUCUGUUGGCGAGAUAGAGCAGCAGGAAAAACAUAAAAAAAAGCACUCAUAAAUGUAUAUAUAUUACCUUUUUCAUAAAAUAUAUCUACUCACGAUAUAAACAUAUACGUUAUGGUCAUACUUUAAGAACUGUUACUGUUAAGAAUUGGAGUGGAUAUAUGAUUUCGGAACCCUAAUGUCAACCUAUUAACCCUAAACCGGAAGGAGGAUACCAGAACUACAAUUUGUCCCGAGUUAUAGUGUGCUGUGUCAUAGCUAUUGUAGUUCCAAUUAAUUAUCUCUAAUAUGUAAAACUGGGAUCACGAACGUUGCAAGCUCAUUAUAUGUUUUUAAGGGUGGGAAGCACGCCUGUUUGGUCUGAUUUUAACUUUCUUAUUGGUAAGAGGGUGUAAUCAUGUUUUUUAUAGGUUUUGACCCUACUCUAUUGGUCUGCUGUCGAGUAUGAUAGUACAUGUGCAGAACUUUCCAAAACAGUUGACCCCAUGUCUGUAGCAUAUUUUGUUGUUGAACUACAAGCCUUCAAAAGUGUCACAGGUACAAGGUUCAAAGGGCACACCUGAGGAGCAGGAACCGCCCACAAAUCUCAAAUUGACAUAUGUUGCUCCCUAGGUCAAGACCUUUCCAACGAUGUCUUCACUGUUGUCCUAUGCCAAUUUUUGAUUUUCUUGUUGGUAGACUACACAUCAUGGCUGUUUGCCGUAUACAUUCAGAGACCUCUUUGAGGGCCAAGCUGGAAACAAUCACUCAAAAUCUUUUAACGGGUAUUUUGUGGCCAGAUUUAUUGAACAUAUUGAUUAUACGCAGUCAUACUAUUCAAUGUGGACCAGUUUCAAGUUUAUUUUCAACACAGUCUCAAACCCUACUCGUCAAAUGUAUGACGCAUGGCCAAGGAUCCCUGGCGUCAAUUUGCGACGAAAAAUGGGUACCUUUUUCGUCGUUUUUCAACGCCUGAUAGACAGUCUUGUUAAUCCCUCACCGUCGGAUAUAGACGAAAGGAAAUCAAUGUCUAUCAACGGUAAUGCCGUCAGGUUAUGCAAAUAUUGUCGAUUGAUUUGUUUGACAGAUUCACCAUUAAACGUGUUUCUGGUGACAUUUCUAGUGAGAAAUUUACUUUUUCCUUGAAUAAUCUUCAGUCAGUGAAUGUGUAUGAUCUUUAUUAAUAUUUAUUAUCUGAAUGGGAAAUGCAAUAUUUUAGGAUCGAUUCACCGUUAAACGUGUUUCUAAUAACAUUUCUAGCGAGAAAUAUACUUUUUACUUUCAUAAUCUUCAGUCAGUGAUUGUGUCUGAUCUUUAGUUUUAUAGUUAUUAGGAAGAUUUAAUCGUCUCGCUCGCAUGUCUCAACGACGUCAGG
rnacentral:lncRNA from 1 species